rnacentral:rRNA from 1 species
AGUGGCGGACGGGUGAGUAACGCGUAAGAAUCUAACUUCAGGACGGGGACAACAGUGGGAAACGACUGCUAAUACCCGAUGUGCCGCGAGGUGAAACCUAAUUGGCCUGAAGAAGAGCUUGCGUCUGAUUAGCUAGUUGGUGGGGUAAGAGCCUACCAAGGCGACGAUCAGUAGCUGGUCUGAGAGGAUGAGCAGCCACACUGGGACUGAGACACGGCCCAGACUCCUACGGGAGGCAGCAGUGGGGAAUUUUCCGCAAUGGGCGAAAGCCUGACGGAGCAACGCCGCGUGAGGGAGGAAGGCCUUUGGAUUGUAAACUUCUUUUCUCAAGGAAGAAGUUCUGACGGUACUUGAGGAAUCAGCCUCGGCUAACUCCGUGCCAGCAGCCGCGGUAAUACGGGGGAGGCAAGCGUUAUCCGGAAUUAUUGGGCGUAAAGCGUCCGCAGGUGGUCAGCCAAGUCUGCCGUCAAAUCAGGUUGCUUAACGACCUAAAGGCGGUGGAAACUGGCAGACUAGAGAGCAGUAGGGGUAGCAGGAAUUCCCAGUGUAGCGGUGAAAUGCGUAGAGAUUGGGAAGAACAUCGGUGGCGAAAGCGUGCUACUGGGCUGUAUCUGACACUCAGGGACGAAAGCUAGGGGAGCGAAAGGGAUUAGAUACCCCUGUAGUCCUAGCCGUAAACGAUGGAUACUAGGCGUGGCUU